UACGUAGGGGGCAAGCGAUACUCGGAAUCACUAGGCGUAAAGCGCCGGUAGGCGGUUUGGAAAGUCUCUUGUGAAAGCUCCCGGCUUAACUGGGAGAGGUCAAGGGAAACUACUAGGCUAGAGUGCGGUAGAGGUAGCUGGAAUUCCCGGUGUAGCGGUGAAAUGCGUAGAUAUCGGGAGGAAUACCUAUGGCGAAAGCAGGCUACUGGACCGUCACUGACGCUGAGCUGCGAAAGCUAGGGGAGCAAACAGG
rnacentral:rRNA from 1 species